ACGCUCGACACCUACGGGGGGCAGCAGUGGGGAAUAUUGCACAAUGGGGGAAACCCUGAUGCAGCGACGCCGCGUGAAGGAAGAAGUAUUUCGGUAUGUAAACUUCUAUCAGCAGGGAAGAAAAUGACGGUACCUGAGUAAGAAGCACCGGCUAAAUACGUGCCAGCAGCCGCGGUAAUCUGAGGCGGGCUGGCAAGGC
rnacentral:rRNA from 1 species